rnacentral:rRNA from 1 species
AACCUUUAGCCAAACAAGCAUUAAAGGCAACGCCUGCCCAGUGAACAAUUAAACGGCCGCGGUACCCUAACCGUGCAAAGGUAGCAUAAUCAUUUGUCUACUAAUUAUAGACCUGUAUGAAAGGCAAAAUGAGGGUUUAACUGUCUCUUAUAGUCAAUCAAUUAAAUUGAUCUCCUAGUAAAAAAGCUAGGAUUCACACAUAAGACCAGAAGACCCUGUGAAGCUUUAAUUAAACUAUUAAACCUAAUAAUAACUAAUUUCGGUUGGGGCGACCUUGGAAAUAAAAAGAACUUCCAAUAAACGACCUACAUCGUACCACCUUUGGGCCUACAAGCCAUAAUGACCCAGCACAGCUGAUAAACGGACCAAGUUACUCCAGGGAUAACAGCGCAAUCUUCUUCAAGAGCCCAUAUCAAAAAGAAGGUUUACGACCUCGAUGUUGGAUCAGGACAUCCUAAUGGUGCAGCCGCUAUUAAGGGUUCGUUUGUUCAACGAUUAACAGUCCC